ensembl:lncRNA
UGAUAUUCGGCCCCUCUACACCCCCACUGGCCUUGCAGUGGCAGUGCAAUGGUUUUUGGGUUGUGCACGGGCACAAUCAAGUUAAUUGUGCACACCUGCGAAGGUGUGCUUAAAAGCCAUGCCUUAAGGCUCAGAAGGGGGCUUGCUUUCUGUUGAGAACAUGUGCUACUGUCAAGACUAACUUCUACAAUUAUUCAUGAAGUAAAACACUUUAUUGAAUUGGUCUGGGGAUUCCUGUUCUCGUCAACAUGUGUACCGACUUUUGACAAACCAUGUGUUUUAUUAAAGCACAUUGGUAAUGGUGUGUCACGUCUGGGCCUAUUGUGGGCCUUUAUGUUCUUAGUUUGGUGAUUAUCCAAUUGUAUUGGAGCAAUUGAUGGCAAGCACGUCCGCGUCAAAGCGCCAGCCAACAGUGGCAGUACCUUCUUCAAUUAUAAAGGGAAAGUGAUGAUGGGGUCUUUGGUCGGACGAAGUUUGGAGCACAGCUCAUUGAGGGACAACUCCCUUUGCCGCCACACGCGCCUCUGCCUGGGACAGAUGUGCUGACACCGCCUGUUUUUGUGGUGGAUGAGGCCUUCCCCCAGAAGGUCAACAUCAUGCGCUCAUACCCAGGAUCUCAACAACUGUCUCAGGACCAGAAGGUGUACAAUUACAGGCACUCAAGGGCAAGGCGGGUCAUUGAAAAUGCCUUUGGCAUUCUUGCUGCCAGGUGGCGAAUACUGGGAAGGGCUAUGGAGUGUUCUUUUGACACAGCUGAGGAUGUCACGAAGGCUUGUGUGGUUCUCCACAACUUUUUAUCAAAAGGAGACCAAUCCCUGCCUGAACAAAACCGCUACAUACCCCCAGGAAUGGUCGACCGGGAUGGUGCACCUGGAGAAUGGCGACAGGUGGUCUAGGGAGACACCAACCUUAUUCGCAGAAGACGCAUCACAGCCACAAGAGCCACCGAGGAUGGCAUGGCUGUCAGGGAACUCUUCAAAGAGUACUUCCCGACAGAGCAAGGCAGGAUUGACUGGCAGGACAGGCAUGUCAGACGUGGCACGCUGUACAAUAAAGAUGUUUGAUAUAAUGUAUGUGUUACUGUCAGGGACAGUCUGUUUUUUUGUUUGAAUAAAAUUUGUUCUUUAAACCAUACAUUGUAUAUACAAUCUCUGGGCAUAACGUACAUAAAUAACAAACAAAUGUAAUUGGAGUGCUAAUCUAUUUAUUUUUCGCACUAAAGUGCAACGGUGUCAAAGGCACUUAACUUAAAUGACAGUACAAAAACAAUACAAUUCAGGGGUCUUCAAUAUAGAUAGAACAUGUAGAACAAAACAUUUAGAACAUGAUGAAUAAUAAAUAACAAUUAAAUGUGCAACAGUUUCAAAGGCACUUAACAUUUUAAAUAACCGUAGAAUAAUAGAAUAAAAAGAACAAAAUAUUUGGAACAUAACUUAUGUACGCCC